UAGAAUUCCAGGUGUAGCGGUGAAAUGCGUAGAGAUCUGGAGGAAUACCGGUGGCGAAGGCGGCCCCCUGGACGAAGACUGACGCUCAGGUGCGAAAGCGUGGGGAGCAAACAGGAUUAGAUACCCUGGUAGUCCACGCCGUAAACGAUGUCGACUUGGAGGUUGUGCCCUUGAGGUGUGGCUUCCGGAGCUAACGCGUUAAGUCGACCGCCUGGGGAGUACGGCCGCAAGGUUAAAACUCAAAUGAAUUGACGGGGGCCCGCACAAGCGGUGGAGCAUGUGGUUUAAUUCGAUGCAACGCGAAGAACCUUACCUGGUCUUGACAUCCACGGAAGUUUUCAGAGAUGAGAAUG
rnacentral:rRNA from 1 species